rnacentral:ncRNA from 2 species
CUUGACGGCCUGGGGUGCCGCGCGUCACGCGCGGCUGAGAUCACACCCAUCGAACCUGUCUGGGUCAUGCCAGCGUAGGGAGGAGCCGAUGAGCGAGAGC